UGAGCCUGGAGGAUCUAUUGCUCUGUAAAAGCUCCUCUCCCUCUGGGGGAACCUCGUCUGCUUUCAGCGUAGGGACUGCACCGGAUAUUCAUUUCCUGGUGUUUGCUAAAUACCUCCAAUUGGACUUUUAAAUGAUCCCAGUUGUCCUCAGUGUUAUCAUGCCACCUGCCUGUGCUCUUUAAUGUGUCUUCUAGUAUUUUCUGUUAGUGAUUUAUUGUGUAUGUUUGCUUGUUUCCUGUUUCCUUGCCCCCUUAAGGACCAACACAAUUAUCCUGAUAGACGCAGCGGGUAACGUGACCUUCACAGAGCGCACCAUGCCCACCUGUGACACGAACAAAUGGAGCACCAAUUCUUUCCAGUUCAAACUGGAGGUGUGAAGACGUGAUGGAGGAAACCCACUCUGUGCCUUUCUGCAUCCCCAUUCUGCAAACACUCACUUUUGGCUCAUUAUGAAAUGAUUGUUAGCACAAAGACACGUUUACCCACACACAGGUGUUUGGACACUCAUGAGUACAAAUGUUCAUAAUGACAAGCCUAACUUCAUAUCAAUAUGGAAGAUCAUUUGUAAAUCCAUCUCCAUUGUUCCUGUCUUUUAAUGGAAAGAAAUGAUCUGAAUCACUGGGCUAAAGCUGCUGCACAUUGUCAACUGUUAUUGAGCAGUGACCCCUACUGGAGAUUUAAGAUAUUGCACUUCUCAUGUAAUCAUCCCAUAAGGACUGUUGUAGGUAAAAGACGUUUAAACAAGUAGCUCUCACAUAAAAAGGUUAUUUUUACACAUUGGCUAAAUCAUUCUUAUUUUGGUAUGGAGUCAAUAGAGGGUCAAAUGUCUUGUAGCUAUGUAUCACCAUUUCUGUGUGUGAAAACGUUAUGAAUAAUACAUUCUGAUAUCUAUAAAUGUGUGAACUUUAUUUAAACAAAUAGGUUUUCCUUUUUGAAUCUUUAGGAAGAUCUGUAGCUCCGCAUCACAUUUUGUGAACAAAUAAAAACAUGUGUGCAUAAAUCAUUUUGAUACGUGCGAGUGCAUAAAGAACAUGUCCUCAAGGGUUUGAAUUUACAUAUAUGGUUUUACUUAUGGAGGACCGAACAUGACACAAGUAUACAUAAAUACAUGUAUGAAUAA